rnacentral:rRNA from 1 species
UACAGAGGGGGCAAGCGUUGUUCGGAAUUACUGGGCGUAAAGGGCGCGUAGGCGGCCUGUUAAGUCGAACGUGAAAUCCCCGGGCUCAACCCGGGAACUGCGUCCGAUACUGGCAGGCUUGAAUCCGGGAGAGGGAUGCGGAAUUCCAGGUGUAGCGGUGAAAUGCGUAGAUAUCUGGAGGAACACCGGUGGCGAAGGCGGCAUCCUGGACCGCAUUGGACGCUGAGGCGCGAAAGCCAGGGGAGCAAACGGG